GCAUUGAUGGUUCAGUGGUAGAAUUCUCAUCUUUCGUGUAGGAGACCCGGGUUCGAGUCCCAGCCAAUACA
rnacentral:tRNA from 1 species